rnacentral:rRNA from 1 species
GACCCUUCAUCACGAGAUUGCCAAGUACAGUCUAGAUUCUACAGGGCGGGCAAGGGUGACAAGCAGAAAUACCAUAUGGUCAGUUGGCCCGACAUCUGCAAGCCCCGUGACCAGGGUGGUCUGGGCAUCAUGUCGUCCAAACGCAUGAACAUCGCCUUGCUGACCAAAUGGCUCUGGAGGAUUGCCAAUGGCGAGGGCGGUCUUUGGCUUGAUAUCAUUAGAAGCAAUACCUUCGGGGUCAGCCGCUAG